UAGUGGCGAACGGGUGAGUAACACGUGGGCAAUCUGCCCUUCACUCUGGGACAAGCCCUGGAAACGGGGUCUAAUACCGGAUAAUACUCUGUCCCGCAUGGGACGGGGUUGAAAGCUCCGGCGGUGAAGGAUGAGCCCGCGGCCUAUCAGCUUGUUGGUGGGGUGAUGGCCUACCAAGGCGACGACGGGUAGCCGGCCUGAGAGGGCGACCGGCCACACUGGGACUGAGACACGGCCCAGACUCCUACGGGAGGCAGCAGUGGGGAAUAUUGCACAAUGGGCGAAAGCCUGAUGCAGCGACGCCGCGUGAGGGAUGACGGCCUUCGGGUUGUAAACCUCUUUCAGCAGGGAAGAAGCGAAAGUGACGGUACCUGCAGAAGAAGCGCCGGCUAACUACGUGCCAGCAGCCGCGGUAAUACGUAGGGCGCAAGCGUUGUCCGGAAUUAUUGGGCGUAAAGAGCUCGUAGGCGGCUUGUCACGUCGGAUGUGAAAGCCCGGGGCUUAACCCCGGGUCUGCAUUCGAUACGGGCUAGCUAGAGUGUGGUAGGGGAGAUCGGAAUUCCU
rnacentral:rRNA from 2 species